UACGUAGGGGGCUAGCGUUGUCCGGAUUUAUUGGGCGUAAAGAGCGUGUAGGCGGCCAGGUAGGUCUGCUGUGAAAACUCGAGGCUUAACCUCGAGCUGUCGGCGGAAACCAUCUGGCUAGAGUCCGGAAGAGGAGAAUGGAAUUCCAGGUGUAGCGGUGAAAUGCGUAGAUAUCUGGAGGAACACCGGUGGCGAAGGCGGCAUCCUGGACCGACACGUGACGCUGAGGAGCGAAAGCGUGGGGAGCGAACAGG
rnacentral:rRNA from 1 species